rnacentral:rRNA from 1 species
UACGAAGGGUGCAAGCGUUAAUCGGAAUUACUGGGCGUAAAGGGUGCGUAGGCGGUUCGUUAAGUCUGUCGUGAAAUCCCCGGGCUCAACCUGGGAAUGGCGAUGGAUACUGGCGAGCUAGAGUGUGUCAGAGGAUGGUGGAAUUCCCGGUGUAGCGGUGUAAUGCGUAGAGAUCGGGAGGAACAUCAGUGGCGAAGGCGGCCAUCUGGGACAACACUGACGCUGAAGCACGAAAGCGUGGGGAGCAAACAGG